GAUGAACGCUGACAGACUGUUUAACACAUGCAAGUCUACUUGAUCCUUCGGGUGAUGGUCGCUGACGGGUGAGUAACGCGUAAAGAACUUGCCCUGCAGUCUGGGACAACAUUUGGAAACGAAUGCUAAUACCGGAUAUUAUGUAUUUCUCGCAUGAGUUUUACAUGAAAGCUAUAUGCGCUGCAGGAGAGCUUUGCGUCCUAUUAGCUAGUUGGUGAGGUAACGGCUCACCAAGGCGAUGAUAGGUAGCCGGCCUGAGAGGGUGAACGGCCACAAGGGGACUGAGACACGGCCCUUACUCCUACGGGAGGCAGCAGUGGGGAAUAUUGGACAAUGGACCAAAAGUCUGAUCCAGCAAUUCUGUGUGCACGAUGAAGUUUUUCGGAAUGUAAAGUGCUUUCAGUUGGGACGAAGUAAGUGACGGUACCAACAGAAGAAGCGACGGCUAAAUACGUGCCAGCAGCCGCGGUAAUACGUAUGUCGCAAGCGUUAUCCGGAUUUAUUGGGCGUAAAGCGCGUCUAGGCGGUUUGGUAAGUCUGAUGUGAAAAUGCGGGGCUCAACUCCGUAUUGCGUUGGAAACUGCCAAACUAGAGUACUGGAGAGGUGGGCGGAACUACAAGUGUAGAGGUGAAAUUCGUAGAUAUUUGUAGGAAUGCCGAUGGGGAAGCCAGCCCACUGGACAGAUACUGAC
rnacentral:rRNA from 1 species